rnacentral:rRNA from 1 species
CAAAACAUGUCUUAUUGAAAAUAAUUUUAAGUCGAUCUGCCCAAUGAUAAUAUUUAAUGGCUGCAGUAUAAUUGACUGUACAAAGGUAGCAUAAUCAAUUGAUUUUUAAAUGAAAUCUGGAAUGAAAGGAUUAAUGAAAUAUAUACUGUCUCAUAUAUAUGUUAUGAAUUUAAAAUUUUAAUAAAAAUGUUAAAAUUUUUUUAUGGGACGAUAAGACCCUAUAGAAUUUUAUAUAAAAUUAAUUUUAUAUUAAAAUAAAAUUUAAUUUUAUAUUUAAUUGGGAGAAUUAUUAAAUUUAAUGAAUUUUGAUUUUGAAUAACUUUAAUUUAAGAAAAUUAGAAUUGAUCUUUAAUUUAAAAUUUAUAGAAUAAAUUACCUUAGGGAUAACAGCGUUAUAUUUUUUUAUAGAUCGUAUAGAAAAAAAUGAUUGCGACCUCGAUGUUGAAUUAAGAUAAAUUUUAAAUGUAGAAGUUUAAUAAUUAAGUCUGUUCGACUUUUAAAAUCUUACAUGAUUUGAGUUCAAAUCGACGUAAGU